rnacentral:lncRNA from 1 species
GAGAAGUUUUCCUCACUCGAGAAUUAAGGGAGCACUACCUCAACAUACAUGCUUCACUCUCAAAGCUUCAACAUACAAGCUUUAACAAAAGAAGAAAAUUCAAAGAACUUAGUGAAGAAGGCCUUAGUGUAUUUAACACAAUACGUUGAAAUGAAGCAAAGCUUGUUUAUUGAUAUCUCCGAUAAGUUACAAAUAUGUACAUAUACAUGAAUCAAAAUAAAUAAACAAGAAGGAGCCUUCACAAAGGUGGCUCAUGAGAAGUCUCAACAGUCGGCAGAGCCUCAGAAAGAGUAGGC